CUUCAUGAGUGAAUAUGAAAUUGUGCCUGCUCACUGAAGAUUUUAAAGAGCUGCGGUAUAUUGACCGUACAAAGGUAGCAUAAUCAUUAGUUUCUUAAUUGGAGGCUGGAAUGAAUGGUUUGACGAAACAAUAACUGUCUUAUUACUUAAGAAUUGAAUUUUACUUUUAAGUUAAAAGGCUUAAAUAUAAGAGAGGGACGAGAAGACCCUAUAGAUCUUUAUAAGUUGAUAUUUAUAUUAAUAAAAUUUUGUUAUUAUAAUUAAUUAAUGAUGUUGUUAUAGAUAUUAUAUUUAUUUAAUUGGGGUGAUUUAGGAAUAUGAAAACUUCUUAAUUAUUUAACUUUGAUAGAUGGAGAAAAGGUCCUUUAUUAUGGAGAGAAGAUGAAGUUACCUUAGGGAUAACAGCGUAAUUUUAUUUGAGAGUUCUUAUUGAUAAUAAAGAUUGCGACCUCGAUGUUGGAUUAAGAGUAUAUGUUGGUGCAGAAGUUAMAUMUUAUUAGUCUGUUC
rnacentral:rRNA from 1 species